GCAGCCGCGGUAAUACGUAGGUGGCGAGCGUUAUCCGGAUUUAUUGGGCGUAAAGCGUCCGCAGCCGGUUUUAUAAGUCUAGAAUAAAAGCCCGGGGCUCAACCCCGGUUCGUUCUAGAAACUGUAAGACUCGAGUGUGGUAGAGGCAAAUGGAAUUUCUAGUGUAGCGGUAAAAUGCGUAGAUAUUAGAAGGAACACCAGUGGCGAAGGCGAUUUGCUGGGCCAUCACUGACGGUCAGGGACGAAAGCGUGGGGAGCAAAUAGGAUUAGAUACCCC
rnacentral:rRNA from 1 species